GACGGAGGGGGCUAGCGUUGUUCGGAAUUACUGGGCGUAAAGCGCGCGUAGGCGGUAUAAUAAGUUGGAAGUGAAAGCCCGGGGCUUAACCUCGGAAUUGCUUCCAAAACUGUUAUUCUAGAGUGUAGUAGGGGAUGAUGGAAUUCCUAGUGUAGUAGUGAAAUACGCAGAUAUUAGGAGGAACACCGGUGGCGAAAGCGGCGCGCUGGAUCUCUUCUGACGCUGAGGCGCGAAAGCCAGGGGAGCAAACGGGG
rnacentral:rRNA from 1 species